rnacentral:tRNA from 2 species
GGCAAGAUAGCUCAGUUGGUAGAGCAACCGGCUCAUAUCCGGUCGGUCGGGGGUCCGAGUCCCUCUCUUGCUA